UUGUGGAUGUGUGUGUGUGUUUAUUUGUUUGUGUGUGUGUGUGUGUGUCUGUGCAUGUACAUACAUUUCUGUCUGUGAUCCAGAGAUUGAUGCUGACUAUAUCUUCCUCUAUUACUCUCCAUUUUAAUUUUUGCAAGACAAGCUCUCUUACUGAAGCUGUAGCUCACCAGUUUGACAGCAUCAGUGGCCACCAGACCCCAGAGAUUCUCCAGUUUCUCCUUUCCCACUUACAGAUGCAGGCUACACAGUCAGCUUUUGAUAUGGGUGCCAGAGACCUGAACCUGGGUCCUUAUGUGGGCAUCCUACUGACUGAGGUGUCUUGCCAAAGCCAAGCAAAGAACAGAGGUCGACAGACAGAUGAUGCUGUUAGGAGCUUGAUCUUGGGCUUUCCAGCCUCCAUUGUGUGAGAAAAUAAAUUUACAUAUUCUAAAUCACCUGGUCUCAAAUGCUCAUAUAUAACAGCACAAACUAAGUUAGAAAAGACAUUGGGUUAACUCCUCACUGUUGGGUAUACCAACACCUCUCAGAGGUGGACAAUCUAAAUUCAUUAUAUCCUCAACAUUUGCAUUUGUAUUUGUGUACUUAAAGACCAUUUAGAUUGAAAAUUUCCAAAAAUAAAUGGUCAACUUCCUCUACAGCCUGCCACAACCAAAGGCUUCCUUACCUUAGUGGAUGCUACUCCAAUCCUCUAGUUGUUGAAGCCAGAGUAAUAAAAUAAGUUAUUUUUCUUUGUUGGAGUCAAAUUAGCAGAACAUAAAAUGCAUUAUUUAACUACUUCAUGGUGUGUAACUCAGCACCUUGUAAUAAAUCCAUGAUGUUUUGCAUAUAUUACCCAAAGCCAUCUUUUCCCUGUGCACCAUUCUCUUUGUCUCUCCAUCCCCCAGCAAGACCUGGUCCAUUUUCUAUAGCCUCACCCUGUUCACAUAAACAGAAUUGUUCUGUGAUAUGUGUCUUUUGCAUCUGGCUUAUUUCACCAAGGGCAAUGUCUUUAUAGUUCAUCCAUUAUAUACUUAGAGCCUUUGCAACUAUCUCUCUCUCACACCUCAAAUCUAACCCAUCAAGAAAUCCCAUUAGACGUAUCUCUGAAAUGUAUCUUGAAUCUGAACUCUGCUCACUGCCUCCAUCACCUUUGCUUCCUGUGAGGUAUCACCAUGCUUCCCUGUAGCAUAGCGAUUGCCUGAAACUCCUGUCCCUGACUUAGCAUUGCCUGUCUGUGUGCUUUCCAGCAUAUCGAUCUGAUGUGCUCCAAAUCUGAAUCAUGUGUUGCUUCUCUCCUCAAAACCUUGCCAUAGCUUCCAAUUCUACUCAAAGGCAAAGCUAAAAUCUCUACUGUGCCCCACAGGUCACUUGGGAUGCCCACAACUUUACCAAGAGCUGAUGUGGGUACCCUUCCCAUUUGGACCAGCCCAUACUCUUCCUUGCUACUGAGCCACACAGGCCUUUUUGCUAUUCCUCCAUGCAUUCAUUGUCUUCCUGCUUUAAGGACUUUGUAGUCACUCUUCUUCCUCCCUAGAAUGUUGGUCAAUCCACGGAUUUCUCACUCAGUGAUGCCCAGCCAGCCUUCUCCCUCCACACUGGGAACUCCAAUGUCCCCCACUUGUAUUCUAAUAUUGCUUAUUUUUUCCUGUUUCUUUUAAGUGGUCAAUUAUCAUUCUCCAAUUUGUCCUAUUCAUUAUUUGCUUGUUUUUCAUUCAUUCAUUCGUUCAUUCAUUCAUUCUUGUAUGUGUGUGCCUCCAACCAAAAUGUGAGCUCUACAGACUGCAAAUUUUUGUUUCUUUCACCAAUGGAUUCCAAGAGGCUAGUACAGUAGUACACUUGGCACUCAGUCAUUGCUUGAGAAAUAGUUGUUAACUCGAAGAUGUCAAUCAAAAUAUCAAAUAACAUUUUUUAGAACUUGCUACCCUUCAUUUAAUGAUUGAGCUGUGUGCCAGGAACUUAGCAAAGGCCAUACUUGCAAUUUUAUCUCGUCUAGUCCUCAGCAAUAACUCUGGGAGAUGAGUACUUUUCCCACCUCCAGAUGAGAGCGCAAAGCUUUCUGGGAUCCGAUAGCAUGCCCAAGAUUUCACGGCUCAUAAACAUUCAAGCAUUCUGGACUUUGUUUCUGUUCCAUCAGCAACUUCGAAUUACUAAGCAAUUUGGCAGGAGCAGAGCGACCCUUCAGAAAUUCUGGGCCUCGGCGGAGCCUCUACGAUUUCCACAGUUGGGUGCCGGCAUUGGUCCCAAAUCUUUACCCUGCUUAGAGCAGACUCGAGAAAAAGAACUGUGGUCCAGCUGGCCAGUCCCCAAAUGACUCAUCUGGCCCUGGACAGCCUGAGCAUCCCCACACUUUCCUAACCUGGCUGCCCCGUGUGACCCUGACUGCCAAACUGAUGGCUGUUUCCUUCCCUGGCUGCCCCGAGUGACCUGGACUGCGACAUUGAUGGCUGAGGCUGGUUCCUAACCUGGCUGCUGCUGAGGACAACUCAGACAAGGAUCAUGGCCAUACAAGAUUAGCUGAACCUGCAGACCUGCAGAAGCUAUUGCCUGUAGGGCGCUCGUCUCUGUGGGAGUGGACAUGGCGGUUGCUAAGGGACAGACUGAUUUGACUGUCACACUGCCCCUGCAAGGAACUUGAAGCCUCACUGGAUGUUCAGACAGCAAAGUUGGGGAAGAGAAAACCCACUAUACUUUUCAGUGUUACCACUGCAUCCCAGUGCAUACUAAGCAUGGACCACAGGACCGCUGACCAUGACCUCUACAAACAGGAUAGUGUUAUGAAGUUCAAAUGUGUGUGAAGACAUUUUGUGACCGCCAAGCCCCCACUGAACACACCAGCUUCUCACCUUCAGGACAGGUGUUGCUGAAGUGACAGAGAAGGACAUUGUGGGCAGACGUCUGGGUGCCCAGUGCUGAACAGUCCCCCUUCUUUCACAGGCAAGCAUAGCUCCAGGACCCAUGGAAACACCAGAAGAGAGAGCACAUCCACUGGUCCAUGCAGGCUGGCCAGCAGAGGUGUUGGGCUACUGGGAACCCAAGAAGGCUUUGAUUUGGAGAAGUGGGGAUACUUGAGAUCCAGAGGCACCGGACUUGUGGGUUAAGCCUGGCUCUUGGAGAACAGUAACGUGGAACACAUGAAGGGAGAGCAUGGAUGGAUGUCAGUCUCUGAGAAGAAGAUGAAGACUGAGACCCAGCCCAAGGCCAAGACCCAGCCCAAGGCUGCCCACCCUUUUACUACUAUGGCCAAAAACAGUUGGCACCAAAACAUACCCUAGGUUCCCAAAGGGACAUCUGUCUGAUUAUUUGCUCAAUUACCCAACAGUCUGGGGGAAAAAAAUCUUAUUUCUGUGACAACUUAAGUCUUCUAAAAUUUCCCCUGUAUGGGCCACCUUAAAGCAAGGAUCACAAAGAUGUCAAAGCACCCACUAAAGUUAACUAUUUUUCAACUGGCAUAAACUCAAAGAGGUGAUCUGCGUUCCUCUCACCUUCUCCAUCUCCAGGAGUAAUAGCUGUGGGAGAACGGUGGAGUUUCCCAUGAAGUCGUUUUUUGUGGGUGAAGGGCCUUGCUGUAGUGGUGACCUUGGCAUUGGAAUUCAUUCCGACACUGACACUCCAGGAGAACUUUCCAUGUACCCCACCUCCCAGGCAGAGCGCACUUCUAAAGCUCUCAAAGACAUUAUUUAUUAAAGUGUCUGACAAAUGGUGGCAUUCCACCAAAAUGUGUCGCUGUGGAUUUUCCUCUUGUUGGCUGUUUCACAAUUCAGAGCCUCCUCGGCAUAUGGGAAAGUCUUACUUCCUACCUGGGCCAAAAACAGUCAUCACACUGAUAUGGCCUGAGGCAACCAAGAAUCCCGGGCCUUGUUUGCACAAGUCGGUGGUCGAUAUAUAUUUACUCAAUCAACCAUUUUUAUUGUUAAUUAGUAGUUGAACAGUGUAGGAAGAGACACUUUUUAAAAAAUGCAAAGUACUGUGAGAGCUCCUCUACCCUUUUUAAUUAACUCUUUAAAUCUAAGGAAUACAUUGUCAAUGUGAGAUCUAAUAUAAAGAUAGUUCCAUAUCUGGGCAAAGGGCAUAGAAAUGGGAGUGUUGUCAUAUGGUCAAUUUGAACACAAACCGGUAUGGGUUGAUG